UCAGACUUUUAAUCUGA
rnacentral:tRNA from 1 species